UUUCAAGACGAUGAAACAUUGCGUUUAAUUCCUAAAUGUAACCAUGUGUACCACCAUGGUUGCAUCGAUAUUUGGCUUGUCUCUCAUGAUACUUGCCCAGUUUGUCGUGCUAACCUUGCUCCAAGACCCGAUAUUGACACCACCGAGCCUACAAUGAUAUCGAAUCAGAUACCAGAAGGAGAAGAUAAUCGUCAAGAAUUGAGUAUACAAAUUUCAAAUGAUGAAGAAGUAGAACAUAUUGUUGAAGAGGAACAAAAGAAAGCCAACGUGGAAGUGGAAAAUUCACCUAAGGUAGAUGUACUUCGUAGGUCUAAAACAUAUUCUGCACCAACACGGUCAAGAUCAACAGGAUUCUUAUCUAUUCUCUUGUUAUCACGGUCAAACUCAACAGGUGUGUUGGUGCAACCAGGUGAGGAUUGUGAGAGGUUUACACUG
rnacentral:lncRNA from 1 species